GUAUGUACGUUGUAGCUUCAUUUUUUACCCCGUAUUAACACUGAGGUUGAUGUUCGAUUUGUGAUACCAUCAGCCUCGCUGUCAAUACGGCGUAAGGGAUGGUAUUCGUCACGCCUCCUGU
rnacentral:precursor_RNA from 14 species